rnacentral:rRNA from 1 species
UCCGCAAUGGGCGAAAGCCUGACGGAGCGACGCCGCGUGCGGGAUGAAGACCUUCGGGUUGUAAACCGCUGUCAGUUGGGAGGAAAUCUAUGGGGGUUCUCCCCCAUAGUUGACCUAUCUUCAGAGGAGGGACGGGCUAAGUUCGUGCCAGCAGCCGCGGUAAGACGAACCGUCCAAACGUUAUUCGGAAUCACUGGGCUUAAAGGGCGCGUAGGAGACAUAGCAAGUUGGGUGUGAAAUCCCUCGGCUCAACCGAGGAACUGCGCUCAAAACUGCCAAGCUAGAGGAAGAUAGAGGUGAGCGGAACUAAUGGUGGAGCGGUGAAAUGCGUUGAUAUCAUUAGGAACACCUGUGGCGAAAGCGGCUCACUGGGUCUUUUCUGACGCUGAGGCACGAAAGCUAGGGUAGCGAACGGGAUUAGAUACCCCGGUAGUCCUAGCUGUAAACGAUGAGCACUAGGUUGGAGGCUCCUCCAUAGGUUUCCGACCGAAGCGAAAGUGUUAAGUGCUCCGCCUGGGGAGUUUGGUCGCAAGGCUGAAACUCAAAGGAA